rnacentral:rRNA from 1 species
GACGAACGCUGGCGGCGUGCCUAAUACAUGCAAGUCGAACGCAGUGGGGACGGGUGAGUAACACGUGGGUAACCUCCCAUCAGAGGGGAUAACACUUGGAAACAGGUGCUAAACCGAUACUGAUGGAUGGACCCGCGGUGCAUUAGCUAGUGGGUGAGGUAACGGCUCACCAAGGCCACGAUGCAUAGCGGUCUGUAGAGGUUGAUCGGCCACCUGGGAAUGGGGAAACGCCCCAGACUCCUAAGGGAGCCAGCAGGAGGGAAACUGCGGCAAUGGGCGAAAGUUUGACCGAGCAACGCCGGGUGAGUGAAGAAGGUUUUCGGAUCGUAAAACUCUGUUGUUAGAGAAGCGGUAUCUAACCAGAAAGCCACGGCUAACUACGUGCCAGCGCCGCGGUAAUAC